rnacentral:lncRNA from 1 species
AUUUUUGUGGGUACAUAUGUAGGUUUAUAUGUUUAUAGUAUUUGUGGUUUAUUUUUUGAAAGAAAUAUUUUUCUCUUCUACAAGCAGCUUCUGAAAGACGAAGAUGAAGACUACAUGAUUCCUAGGAGGAGAAGGAGGCCCAGGCAGGAGCCUGGAAGUCUGAGGCCACUCUACCGAAAUCAGACUGCAUUCCCCGUCCACAGGAGUCUGGACUCCCUGGUGCGCAGAAUGGACGCUGGUCAAAGCAGAAGAGGGUGCGGGGCAGAACCCAGCAAUGAACUGCAGAACAACAGACCAAGGUUUCUGGAAAGAUGUUAAGUGUUUCCUCAGUGUAGUGUCAGUUAAUCAGAGGAAGUGGGACAACUGCGGCCUUCUCAUCAGAGGGAUAUCUGCAGGUGGCGGGAUGGUGCAUGUGGCACCCCAGAGUGCGGUCCGUGCACGCAGGAGUGUCAGGUCCAAGGAGAGUUCUCUUUGUUAGGUUUGAGAAAGAGUAGGAGGAAGAGGUGGAGGAGGAAAAGAGAGAAGAGAGACUGAAUCAGAGAGAAGCAGAGAGAGAAUCUGAGGGAAAUGAUUUACAUGCAAGAGAAAGUGAAACUGAAAUGUAACCACCCACCCAAAUUGCAAAAGGCAACUUUUCUUGUCCACCCACUAGAGGAAACAUCUCAUCUUUUUCAGGCACCUGGCCUGGCAGCAAUCAUCCUCCUCCCAUCGCCUGCCCUGCCUCCCUUAGAAGGUGGGAGCAAGAGAAAGUGGGAGUGAAGGAGAUGUCAAUGACUUGAAAUGCUCCACAGCUACAUAUUGUAAUUUUCGCUAUACUUAUAUUGAACCUGUCUCUUUUGACCUACGUGUUAAGGAGUGAGAAGUAAAAAAUCCUGUCCUUUAGGCCUUACUCUGCUUCUUUUCUUGAUUGCAGAUUCCUUAAAUGUAAAAUGAGGAAGUAAAAAUAAAUUGUCUUUAAGGUUCUUCCCACUGUAAUGUUUUACAUUUCUAAUAAUACUAUCAUUUAAUGAGUGAAUACUCUGUGAAAAAUGACUAAUAUAUCUUAACUUGAAUCCUCAAAACAAUCUCAAAAGUGGGUAUUGUGAUCCACAGAUGAAUUACGUGAGAUUGUGUCUCUUUCUGACUUUUCCCACCCUGCAAACCUCUGUCUUCACAGAUGAACCCCCAACCUGGUAAACAGUCAUGCAUCGCUUAGUGACGGGGACAUCCUCUGAGAAAUGCGUCCUUGUGCGAACAUCACAAAGUGCACUUACACAAACCUAGAUGGCACAGCCUACUGCACACCUUGGCUCCACAGUACAGCCUAUUGCUCCUCGGCUGCAAAUCUGGACAGCAUGUUACUGUGCUGAAUGCUGUAGGCAACUGGAACACAGUGGGAAGUGUUUGUAGAUCUUAACACAUCUUAACGUAGAAAAAGUACAGUAAAAAUAUAGUAUAAAAGAUAAAAAAUGGUAAAGGACACUUACCAUGAAUGUGGCUUGUAGAACUGGAAGUCGCUCUGGGUGAGUCCGUGAGUGAGUGCUGGUGACCAUGAAGGCCUAGGACAUUACUGUACAUCACUGUAGACUCUAUAAACACUGGACACCUAAGGUACACGAAACUUACUUAAAAAUAUUUUUCUCUCUUCAUUAAUAAAUUAAUCUUAGUUUACUGUAAAUUUUUUAUUUUAUACAAUUUAAAAUUUUUGACUUUUUUGUUAGUAACAGCUGAAAACACACAUUGUACAGCUGUACAAAAAUAUUUUAUUUAUAUCCUUAUUUGAUAAGCUUUUUAAAUGUUUAAAUUACUUUAUUUUACUUUUUAAACUUUUAAAAAAAAUUAAGACACAAAUACACACAUUAGCUUUGGCCCACACAGGGUCAAGAUAAUCAGUAUCACUGUCUUGCACCUCCACGUCUUAUCCCGCUGGAAGGUCUUCAGGGGCAUGGAGCUGUCAUGUCCCUGUGAUGAUGAUGCCUUCUGGAAGAGGUCCUGAAGGAUCUGCCUGAGGCUGUUUUACAGCUCACUUUUUAAAUAAGUAGAAGUAGUGCACUGUAAGACAACAAUAAAAACUAUAGUGCAGUAAAUACAUAAACUACAAAAACUAUACAUAAUUAUACAUAAACUAUACAUAAAAGUUUGGUGCAGUUCAGUAUAUGUAUAGGAGCAGAGCAGUAUACAUAAAAGUAUAGUGCAGUAAAUACAUAAACUACAUACAUAAACUGUUACUCCAGUAACAGUGGUUUAUUAUCAUUAUUAAGUAUGUGUUAUACAUAGUUGUAUGUGCUAUACUUUCAUAUGACUGGCACGCGGUAUUUGUUUACACGAGCAAUCAACACAAACGUGUGAGUAAACGUGAGUAAUGCGUUGUGCUACCAUAUUACCAUUGCUACGACGUCACUAGGUGACAGGAAUUUUUCAGCUCCAUUAUAAUCUUACCGGACGGUCCGUCCUUGACCAGAAUAUUGCUAUGCAGCUCCCGACUGUACUCCUAAUAACCACCAGGGGGCAGCCUAUACCCAUUCUUUUUUUUUUUUUUUUUUGAGACGGAGUCUCGCUCUGCCGCCCAGGCUGGAGUGCAGUGGCCGGAUCUCAGCUCACUGCAAGCUCCGCCUCCCGGGUUGACGCCAUUCUCCUGCCUCAGCCUCCCGAGUAGCUGGGACUACAGGCGCCCGCCACCACGCCCGGCUAGUUUUUUGUAUUUUUUAGUAGAGAUGGGGUUUCACCGUGUUAGUCAGGAUGGUCUCGAUCUCCUGACCUCGUGAUCCGCCCCUCUCGGCCUCCCAAAGUGCUGGGAUUACAGGCUUGAGCCACCGCGCCCGGCCCAUUCUUUAAUCUCACAGUUACAUAGGUGGAAAUCUGAGAUUAGCCCACUGCCCAGGAGGCUGUCUAAUCCAGACUGAUGAAUUAACCCAGUUAUGGAGUAUCUGGUCAAGCCCUGUUUGUCCGAUUUGUAUCACAGGAGACUGAAUGAAUUUAGGAGCUGAAUAAGCAAUUGAAGAUUUCUUCCUUUGAUGUUUUGGAUUUAUUUUUCAUCUUUGGAGACAGGGUGUCCCUAUUGC